rnacentral:pre_miRNA from 1 species
AGUGCAAUUUCUGGGUUGUGUAGUAGUUACAUGUUUAGGUUUUUAAGGAAAUUGUCAGAGUGUCUUUCAGAGUGUCUGUAAGAUUUUAAAUUCUCUUUAGAAAU